rnacentral:rRNA from 1 species
CAUGGUUGUCGUCAGCUCGUGUCGUGAGAUGUGGUUAAGUCCCGCAACGAGCGCAGCCCUCGACCUUAGUUGCCAGCAUUCAGUUGGGCACUCUAAGGUGACUGCCGGCUAAAAAGUCGGAGGAAGGUGGGAUGACGUCAAAUCAUCAUGCCCUUAUGACCUGGGCUACACACGUGCUACAAUGGGCGGUACAAAGGGUCGCGAACCCGCGAGGGGGAGCCAAUCCCAAAAAGCCGCUCUCAGUUCGGAUUGCAGGCUGCAACUCGCCUGCAUGAAGCCGGAAUCGCUAGUAAUCGCGGAUCAGCAUGCCGCGGUGAAUACGUUCCCGGGCCUU